UUUGUGUGUGUAUUUUUAUUUUGUGUGUGUAUUAAUAUUUUUAUUUUGUGUGGUGGCCCUUGUGAGCCACCGUAUAUCGGAGCAAAAUUUUCUGCCUAUGUUAAAGAUAUACAGAUAUAUAGAGUUGUUGUGAUGGUGAAUGGCACCGAUAGAAAGCGAGAAGUCCCAAAGAAGGUUGGCAGGCAGAAUCAAAGGAAUUAAACUACACAUUUUGCCCUAUUACGGUAUAAAAUACAUCCAUGUCGAUUGAUGAGCAAGAAAAUAAAUUGAACGAUUAUAUAGCAGAUUUUCUACUCAAAGAUUGCCUUUGUCAAAUCUCUCUUGUAAAAUCAAUAGCUCAGAUUUUGAAAUAUGAGCCAGCAAAACUUCUACUACAAUCUGUGUCGUUAUUUUGCUAUGAAGCUUUACAAAAACUUCGCCCGUGAAUUGUUCGUGUUGAAAGUAUGAGAGCUCCAAAACCUGGGGAAAGAGUGAUACCCAUGACUGGAUCACCGCUGACCAAUGAUGUUGCGCCCUUGGACAACAAUGCUCCGAAGGGCAUCAUAGUAUUAACAGGUGGUAAGUUUACAGCUGAUGAUUGUUUUCAACGAGUAUUUGAGAUGUGUUCCAUGUAAAGGCAGGUUUUAGUUCAAAACCUCUCGAAAGUUAUAAGCCAGGGGGACAUUGGAUUGGUAUAACUCACAACCUGUUAAUUUUAACACGUUCUAUAAAUAUUUACCAGCAAUGUGCGAGGUAGAUUACAUUGACAUGAAAGGUUGAGGAUUUUCAAAUGAUUUUGGAAAGGUUACGUGCCCAACAACCCUCUAAGAAAGGAACAUUUUCAUUGAUGAACAAACAAUAAUGUCUCGGACUGGUUAUCGAAGCACAUCAUUGUUAGAUGAUGCAAAAGGCCAAGUUCUACUCUGGUUAUGUCAGUUUUAAAAGAACUUCAACAACCUGCUACAUUGGAUGUUUCAAGUCCAAAGAAAAUUGACGUAGAUAAGAAGAAAGAAGCAUGUGUUAGUACGACAAAUACACGACGUACUUUAAAAGUUAUUGAACAUGGGAAAACACGUAUGUUGUUUCAUUUUAUGUAAUACACAUGUGUUUGCUUUUAACUUUGUGAGCAAUUAUUAGUUUUUCCAAUUUUUUCGUAAGAGAUAUUUUAAUUUUAACAUGAAUAUAUUUACAUCAUCGAGAUGCGUUAGAAACGCGUUAAAUUUCA